rnacentral:rRNA from 1 species
UACGAGGGGUGCAAACGUUGCUCGGAAUCAUUGGGCGUAAAGCGCACGUAGGCGGUUCGUUAUGUCGGAUGUGAAAGCCCUUGGCUUAACCGAGGAAGUGCAUCCGAAACUGGCGAGCUAGAGUACGAAAGAGGAUCGCGGAAUUCCCGGUGUAGAGGUGAAAUUCGUAGAUAUCGGGAGGAACACCGGUGGCGAAGGCGGCGAUCUGGGUCGAUACUGACGCUGAGGUGCGAAAGCGUGGGGAGCAACAGG